CAAGGUCUUCAAUAAUUGUAUUUCUCAUAGGUAUUCAAUAAUUGUAUUUCUCAUUCAACUCACGGUUUAUUGAAAAUGGUUUCUUUCUCAUCCUUUCUCUCUUUCACUCUUUCUCUCUCUAUGGAUAUGUUUUCUUCUUUAUUUUCUUCUUCCUCUCUCUCAUCUUCUCUUCUUCCUCUUCGUCUACUACAGAAAAAUUUCAAAUAUCCCACCACCUAAUAAUGAUGCCAACAUCUCAGAAAAUCGCUGAUGGCCUCUAAUUCAUAGAUGUUAUGUUUUUCUAUUGUUCUAUCGUUGAUGUAAGGUCAAAUUUUUUAUCAUCAAAUUCACGGCUCCUUAUGUUGCUACUACAGAUAAGAAGGAGAGUAUGAGAAGGAUUUCAUUGGUGGAACGUCUAUUGCGGAUGAUAACAAACAUGAAGUACCACCCAAAAGACCGACAAACAUGAAAUUUAUUUAUUAAUUUAAUAGAUUACUUAUACCUACAUGCACUUCAUUUUCCCAAAAUGCACUUCAUGCUAAC